GGGGAUGUGGCUCAGUGGCAGAGCACUUGCCUAGCAUGUGUGAGGCACUGGGUUCGAUUCUCAGCACCA
rnacentral:tRNA from 1 species